UGGGGAAUAUUGGUCAAUGGGCGAGAGCCUGAACCAGCCAUGCCGCGUGCAGGAAGACGGCCUUCUGGGUUGUAAACUGCUUUUAUACAGGAAUAAAAGGGCUCUGCGGGGCGGAUUGCAUGUACUGUAUGAAUAAGCACCGGCUAACUCCGUGCCAGCAGCCGCGGUAAUACGGAGGGUGCAAGCGUUGUCCGGAUUUAUUGGGUUUAAAGGGUGCGUAGGCGGGUAUUUAAGUCAGUGGUGAAAUCCCUGAGCUCAACUGAGGAAUUGCCAUUGAUACUGGAUAUCUUGAUUACCGUAUAGGUAGGCGGAAUUUAUGGUGUAGCGGUGAAAUGCAUAGAUACCAUAAAGAACCCCGAUAGCGAAGGCAGCUUACUAGAGUGUAACUGACGCUGAGGCACGAAAGCGUGGGGAGCGAACAGGAUUAGAUACCCGUGUAGUCC
rnacentral:rRNA from 1 species